rnacentral:rRNA from 1 species
UACAGAGGUCUCAAGCGUUGUUCGGAUUCAUUGGGCGUAUAGGGUGCGUAGGUGGCGCUGUAAGUCGGGUGUGAAAUUUCGGAGCUUAACUCCGAAACUGCAUUCGAUACUGCGGUGCUUGAGGACUGGAGAGGAGACUGGAAUUCAUGGUGUAGCAGUGAAAUGCGUAGAGAUCAUGAGGAAGACCAGUGGCGAAGGCGGGUCUCUGGACAGUUCCUGACACUGAGGCACGAAGGCCAGGGGAGCAAACGGG